CUCUAGGUAAAGUGUAUUUUGCGGCCUGUUUAGAUAUCUUCGUCCCUAGCCCUAAUUCUAAAGACUCAAGGACAUGGAUAUCUGUCUCUCUUCUCUGAUGGCCGCCUGAGUUUCUCCGUGCUAUCUGAAACGUUCUGAAUAAUGUCUUCCUCUUGCCAUCAAUUCCAUUUUCUCUUUUCCCUUUUCACAAUUUCAGUGUAACGUCUCCAUAAGAGUUGUCAACUUCUUCAAUUCCCUAAUAAAAGCUUAUUAGCCCCACUUACUACGCCGUAUUUAAUACAUCUUAACCUUCCUCUACAUCGGUUGCAAUCAUACUCUUAUAAAUAGACAUGCCUCUCUGCGUUCUUCCCAUCACUGCAUCACGAAUACAGAUUCAUUGAGUUCGAAAGCGAGGAAGAUGCUGACUAUGCAAUUAAAAUUUUGUGAGAUGAAUAAGCUUCAUGGGAAACAUAUACAUCUAAACAAGAGAACAUUGCAGAAGCUGCAGUUCAAGAAGAAAGUUGUGAAUUAGAAUUUGAGUGGGACAGUUGCAAAAAGAUAAACAAGAGAUUUCAUCUGAGCUUUUCUUAACUUGGGGGCGGAGAAAGUAAGGACAAAGAAACACAACAAAAUGAGAGAAGUAGAAGCUGCACACGCCAAGACAAGAGAAGAUGAGCAGAUUUGUAGAAAGUAAAAAGAUCAUCAAGAGAGACCAACUAUAAGAUAGUUCUCCAUGCAUGGAUUAUAUAACAGAAUUGGUAACUGAUAUACAUAAGAUAUUUCUACAGA